GCCAACGUAGCUCAGUCGGUAGAGCACGUCAUUGGUAAUGACGAGGUCUCCGGUUCGAUCCCGGACGUUGGCU
rnacentral:tRNA from 1 species